CUUUAUCGGAGAGUUUGAUCCUGGCUCAGGACGAACGCUGGCGGCGUGCCUAAUACAUGCAAGUCGAGCGGACAGAUGGGAGCUUGCUCCCUGAUGUUAGCGGCGGACGGGUGAGUAACACGUGGGUAACCUGCCUGUAAGACUGGGAUAACUCCGGGAAACCGGGGCUAAUACCGGAUGGUUGUUUGAACCGCAUGGUUCAGACAUAAAAGGUGGCUUCGGCUACCACUUACAGAUGGACCCGCGGC
rnacentral:rRNA from 2 species